CCUACGGGUGGCAGCAGUCGAGAAUUAUUCACAAUGGGGGAAACCCUGAUGGUGCGACGCCGCGUGGGGGAAUGAAGGUCUUCGGAUUGUAAACCCCUGUCAUGUGGGAGCAAAUUAAAAAGAUAGUACCACAAGAGGAAGAGACGGCUAACUCUGUGCCAGCAGCCGCGGGAAUACAGAGGUCUCAAGCGUUGUUCGGAAUCACUGGGCGUAAAGCGUGCGUAGGCUGUUUAGUAAGUCGCGUGUGAAAGGCGCGGGCUCAACCCGCGGACGGCACAUGAUACUGCGAGACUAGAGUAAUGGAGGGGGAACCGGAAUUCUCGGUGUAGCAGUGAAAUGCGUAGAUAUCGAGAGGAACACUCGUGGCGAAGGCGGGUUCCUGGACAUUAACUGACGCUGAGGCACGAAGGCCAGGGGAGCGAAAGGGAUUAGAUACCCUAGUAGUC
rnacentral:rRNA from 1 species